rnacentral:lncRNA from 1 species
AAAAAUACAAAGUAGUCCGAGCAUUGAAAAAAAAACAAGAAAAAGGAGUUACACAGCGAUCAGACCGCCGACGAACCGACUAUAUCCCUCGGAUAAGCUGGACUAAGGACCAAUCCUAUUAGCAUGCCGCCAUCCAUAUCGGUUGAAGAUAACCCGAGCUACCAUCUCCCAUCGGACACACCCAGUAACCAAAGGCUCCCUGAUUUCC